rnacentral:tRNA from 2 species
GGAGGGGUGCCGGAGUGGUUGAACGGGGCGGUCUCGAAAACCGUUGACGGCCUAUCGGUCGUUCGUGGGUUCGAAUCCCACCCCCUCCG